rnacentral:rRNA from 1 species
AUUGAACGCUGGCGGCAGGCCUAACACAUGCAAGUCGAGCGGAUGAAGGGAGCUUGCUCCUGGAUUCCGCGGCGGACGGGUGAGUAAUGCCUAGGAAUCUGCCUGGUAGUGGGGGAUAACGUCCGGAAACGGGCGCUAAUACCGCAUACGUCCUGAGGGAGAAAGUGGGGGGUCUUCGGACCUCACGCUAUCAGAUGAGCCUAGGUCGGAUUAGCUAGCUGGUGGGGUAAAGGCCUACCAAGGCGACGAUCCGUAACUGGUCUGAGAGGAUGAUCAGUCACACUGGAACUUAGACACGGUCCAGACUCCUACGGGAGGCAGCAGUGGGGAAUAUUGGACAAUGGGCGAAAGCCUGAUCCAGCCAUGCCGCGUGUGUGAAGAAGGUCUUCGGAUUGUAAAGCACUUUAAGUUGGGAGGAAGGGCAGUAAGUUAAUACCUUGCUGUUCUGACGUUACCAACAGAAUAAGCACCGGCUAACUUCGUG